rnacentral:rRNA from 1 species
GAUGAACGCUGGCGGCGUGCCUAAUACAUGCAAGUCGAGCGAACAGACGAGAGUGCUUGCACUCUCUGACGUUAGCGGCGGACGGGUGAGUAACACGUGGGUAACCUACCUAUAAGACUGGGAUAACUUCGGGAAACCGGAGCUCAUACCGGAUAAUAUUUAGCUUCGCAUGAAGCAAUAGUGAAAGACGGUUCUGCUGUCACUUAUAGAUGGACCCGCGGUGUAUUAGCUAGUUGGUGGGGUAACGGCUCACCAAGGAAACGAUACAUAGCCGACCUGAGAGAGUGAUCGGCCACACUGGGACUGGGACACGGCCCAGACUCCUACGGGAGGCAGCAGUCGGGAAUCUUCCGCAAUGGACGAAAGUCUGACGGAGCAAUGCCGCGUGAGUGGAGAAGGUGUUCGGAGCGUAAAACUCUGUUGUAAGGGAAGAACAAGUACGUUAGUAACUGAACGUACCUUGACGGUACCUUAUCAGAAAGCCCCGGCUAACUACGUG